GCCCUGCCCUGCCCUGACCGUGCAGCUCUGAGAGGGAAGCUCAACCCGGAUUCCCAGGUCCUCCCAUUCAGUGACCAGCACUGAACACAGACCACUAAACAUGAACUUUGGGAUCAGCUUGGUUUUCUUUGUCCUUAUUUUUAAAGGUGUCCAGUGCGAGGAGCAGCUGGUGGAGUCUGGUGGAGGCUUAGUGCAGCCUGGACGGUCCCUGAAACUCUCAUGUGUAGCCUCUGGAUUCACUUUCAGUAACUACUGGAUGGACUGGAUCUGCCAGACUCCAGAGAAGGGGCUGGAGUGGGUCGCACGCAUUAGUAAUACUGGCAGUAGCACCUACUAUGCAGACGCUGUGAAGGGCCGAUUCACCAUCUCCAGAGACAAUGCCAAGAACACCCUGUACCUGCAAAUGAACAGUCUGAGGUCUGAGGACACGGCCAUAUAUUACUGUGCAAGAGACACAGUGAAUGGAUGUUACUGUGAGAUCAAACACAAACCCCCUGCAGUGCAACCAAGACAAGCAGGGGGCGAUGAGAGCACACAGAACUCAGAGUUAGAGAGAGUUCAAUUGUCCUGGAGGAUAUAUGGUGUCUCCUCCCUCAAACCACAUUCAAAAUUUUCCAACCGAAAUUGUUCCCAUCUUUAA